ACCUGCAGAACUGUGAGCACAUCUGAGGAGAACACGAUGUUCUUUUCAGACUCAAACACAUCUAAAGAGAACUCCUGGGAAGCCGUAAGCACACAUCAUCUGAGCGUCCUGAGGCAGCUGGAACAUCUCCCAUGAGCUGCCCUGCCAAACCCUCCUCCCAAGCCUGCACAGAACCUGAGACAGGAAGAGAGUGAGAAGCAUCAGGAUUGGCAGAUUGGGGAUUGUGGAAGAAAAACAUGGGGUUAUGGAAAACAUGGAAGGCAUGGAAGAGUGUUGAUAAGAAAAAAAUCAUCUGACAGUUGGAAAUAUUGCAGAAUCGAAAGACAUCUGUUGAGUGUAGCAAGAGUGUCUGCAAAACUGCG
rnacentral:lncRNA from 1 species